GUGUCAAUAAUAGUAAGGUUUGGGCAAUAUUUGUAUUCUAUUCUGAUGAUUAUCUCUUUUGCAGAAAACUGACAUGUUUCCUUCUCCAAUCUCAUGUUUUCAGCCUCAAUAUAUGCCUGAAUAUCUUGGAGAGAUUUUUCAUGAGAAACAGAGGGGUCAGAAUCAGACAAGAGAUGGCAAAGGGGAGUGUCACACUCGGGGUUGUAUUUCAUGUGAAGAGUAAUGGGUCGUCGAGUCUUGGUUCCACCACCGACAUGAUUGAAUUGGAAACCCAUUAGAGCCUCCACUAGUGCACUUUUUCCAUCCGUCUGGUGACCCACUACAAGCACAGCUGGUGCAUCAAAUGGAGUAUCGAAUUCUUGAGCCAAACCGUGCAACUCAUUGUAAGCCUCAUAAAGCCUCCAUUGCCCCUCCAAUUCGUCAAUAUUUUUGGUAGCGGAAUCUGGUGAACU
rnacentral:misc_RNA from 1 species